UACAGAGGCGGCAAGCGUUGUUCGGAAUUACUGGGCGUAAAGGGCGCGUAGGCGGCCCUGUCAGUCAGAUGUGAAAGCCCCGGGCUCAACCUGGGAACCGCAUUUGAUACUGCAGGGCUUGAGUUCCGGAGAGGAUGGUGGAAUUCCCAGUGUAGAGGUGAAAUUCGUAGAUAUUGGGAAGAACACCGGUGGCGAAGGCGGCGACCUGGGUAGAUACUGACGCUGAGGUGCGAAAGCGUGGGGAGCAAACAGG
rnacentral:rRNA from 1 species